GUGCCUCUCUGACGCAGCUCCCUGACACGAAGGACCCCCGGGCAGUGGGGAAAGGUCUGCAGCCUGCCUGCCCGUGCUCCCGGAACCCUCAGCCCCCUCUGCGUCUCUCCUGGCUGGGUCCCUGGGCCUCUGCCAUUCUGUGCGGAAGGCCGGUGGCAGGGAGCCUUGCGCAGGGCAAUUGGAAACCUUUACUCUGGGAUUCAUCACUGGGUCGCCCAGUGUCCAGGCUUCUAAGGACCAUCCACACCAUCUGGUCAGUUCUAACACAGACCCUGUUGGAAAAACCCUGCAGCCCUGAUUUGAGUCUGCUGCACAGUUCUGAGGCGGCUCCCUGGCCAGGCAGGGCCGUGGCCGCAGCUCCGACUGUCGGAGGGCCCCUCUGCCGGGGGAGGGCAGGAGAGGGCCCUGGCACCCAGGGCACUGGCCUGGCCCUGGGCUGCCUUUCUCCCUCCUCCUCCGUGACCUGGGAGCCAAGACGGGGCUGCUGUUUCCAGAGGCUGGUUCAGGCCCUGGGGCCGUCCCCCCAAGCCCAUCCCCUUGAGCCCCGGAGCACUGCCCACCCCCUUCCUCUCAGGGUGCCAUGAGCUACGGCUGAGAGAGGUGACUGACCAUCUUCUGUGUGCCAGGCCUAGACCCCCUGCUCCUCUACCCUCCUGUCCUUCCCCUCCUCCAUUAUGAGGCUCAGAUCCUCCUUGGCCACCUGAAAUUGACCGAAGGCUAGGGAAUGAAGCUUUCUGUUUGGUGUCUCCUUUCUUUCAGGGGCUCAAAGCACUUUUAUAAGCAUUAACCUCCUUUAUCCACCCAGCCGUUGUCCUGUUUGUUCCUUGUAUUUUACUAUUAGCUGAGGUGUUGUGUCUAACCCUCAGGCAUCCAGCAAGGGGACAUUCCCCAAGCCAGAGGUGGGGCGGGCAGAGCGCGACUCCCAUGCCUACGUGCCUGGGACCCCGGAGCCAGGUCCCACCCCUGGCCAGUGCCCAGCUCUUCUUCUCCUGUGCCUGCCUUUGGCCAGGUCUUUGCCCCCAGCACCCACUGCAGUAAGCAGGGAAGGUGUCCCUGGGAGGCCACUAUGAGCUGGGAGGUGGUGGACCCAGAGGCAGCAGGGUGGGGGUGGGGGUUGCCGCACAUAAACGAGGAAGCAGGCCAUGUGGGCUUUGCCACCUGGCUGUGUGACCUUGGGCCAGUAACUUUGCCUCCAAGCCUGACUUUAUUGAGAAAUAUGAUGGGGAUGAUAAGACUCUCAUGAAUACAAAAUCAGAGGUCGUGAAAGUGAUCUGUAAACACCGAAGCUGUGUGCAAAUGUCUAGGGUGUUGCACCGUCUCCCUACCCCUAGAAUGGGGGUUGGACAAGAUGACCCCGUGGGAGCAUCGGCCCAGCAUUCUCACUCAGGUUCUAAGAUGAAAGGAGCGCAUCCCCUCCUCCCGACCCAGCUCUGAGCCUGAGCCCCUUGGCCCAAGUGACCAGAGUGGGGGGUGGACUUGGCCGGGGGCAUAUGGGUCAGAAAUCAGCCUCAGUUGUCCCCGGAUAGGUCGCCUGACCCAAAGGGGCUCCUUCCACCGCCUCACACCACAGGCAGCUAUGUCAUUCAUGACCACUAGGACACAGGCAAGCCUCCAGAGCUUGUCCACAUGGGACGAGGGUGAUGUCAGCCCCGCCAGUGCCCAGCGGCUGCAGGGCCGCCCUGCUAGGCUGGAUAAUCUGCUGGUGUGGUGCUGCCUGCCCAGAGGAAGGGAUGCCUUUUCUGUGCACAAGGGUCUGCUUGCCAAGCCUUACCCCCAUGGGUGCUGAGCCUUGUGGGGAGGGGCGCUUUAUCCUAAUUCACACAAAGGAGUUUAGGUGCAGGCCUUUCCAGAGCAGGCCACGGACGGGCAGCCCAGUUGGGCAGGAGAUGCCCAGCCACCCCUCUCCACAGUGGGCUACCUUGCCCCCUCUGCCCCUGGCUCCAGAGCCACCCCAGAGCAAUGGAAAACAUUUCAACAUCUCCUCCCCAACAGGUCAUUAUAAUGAAAAACAUACUGGCUCCCCAAUCCCUUGCCCACAUAUCCUAACUCCCAAAAGCUCUGAAAGCUCGAAGUGUUUUUUGUAAUGUAUUUGGCAACCACACCUGGCCUGAUCAAACAUCAGGCUGCCUAUGGUCUUCAGGUUUCCCACUUUGGGUGAGUAUUCAUAUUAUUGAGAAGUAUUAAUGUGUUUGAUCCAGACCUCACCGGGUUGUAUAUGAUAUGGGAAUGUGCAUAGUAUUACCUUUCUAAAACCACAGAGUCAUAUAAACUCUGAAAGACAAAUGGCCAAAGUUUUCAGAUAAGAAAUUCUAGAUCUGUAGUAACCAGCACUCAGUAUAGGCCUUGUAAUGUCCCAGACACCGUGCUUAAGCACUUCACAAGUAUUGACUCGUGUCAUCCAGCAAGUCAACGUAUUUCCAUUUUAUAGAUGCAAUGGAAGCCUGGGAGGUUCAGUAACCUUGCCAAAGUCGCAUAGUUGACUAAGGGGUGGGGCCAGGGUUUGAAUCAUACUGUGAGCACUACACUGUAUAGGUGGGGAGACUGAGGCCCAGAGGCGAAAGGAGGCAGCUCAGGGUCCAUCAGUGAGUCCGCAGGGAGCCGAGCCUGGGUCCUGGAGUCCCCCAGGAGCUGCCCAGGAGCUCUCAGCUCAGGCUGAGUUUGUCCAACCCAUCAGGAGGAGUUUAAAAAUAGGAUAAGUUCCCGUGGAAAGUUUUCAGAUUUCACUGAAUUAAAACCAGCUGACCCUGUGCACACAGCCCCACUCCCCAGCAGGCGAGGGGCUGGGCUGUGCGCUGAGGUCCCCAUGCCUGUUCCCAGCCUACCCCUAGGGAGGGAAACUGCCUUGGGGACUCAGAGAGGCCAGUGACCAGGACAAGGGACAGGAUGGGCUCCAGCUGACGGGAAGGAAUGGGAGACCCCCUUCUCUGCUGGGAGAGAAGUGUCUCCAACACUCACUGGCUCCAUCUGUCCUCCAGUUUCUGAAGACGGACAGAGGACUCAGAGCAUUCCCUCAUGCCUGCAUGUUCCGGUAGUUUCUGUUUUUACACUGACCUGUUCUACCGCAACUUCACUCCUCUGUUUGUCCUUUCGUGGUCAUACAGCGGGCGUACAGAACCUCCCUGAUGAGGAAGGCUGGCCACAUGAAACACUAGGGCACAAUCCUGCUCUUGGAAAGCUGCAGUCACACAGAACAGGCACUGCAGCAGGGCAGGGGGUUUGUACUGGGGACACAGGAGCAACCCUGGGCUGGUCCGGGAGGGGAGGAGCAGGAGGGAGGAGGACCAAGGGCCCUUCCGGGCCGGGGACAGGCUCAUUCCCCUAGCAGGCUGAUGUGCAGAGAGGGAUCGUGGUGAGGAAGCAGGUGGAGGUGGGCACGUGCCCUGUGAAAGGGCCUCCUGGCUCCACUGAGCUGAUCCUAAGGAUGCUGGGUGGGCAGGAGAGGAUUUCAUGUCUUCCUGGAUCCAGGCUGGUCCGGGAAGACUCCACUCUUGCCAGGGGCCACGUGGAAGUUACCUGAGCAAUUUCCACAUCAGUCUUCUCUGGGUCAGGUCCUGCUCCUGUCACCUGUGUAGACCGGUCCCUGGCGCAGAGCCGAGCACUUUGGUAAGAGGUGGCUGAGCCAAGCUGCCCUAGGUGCUGCCACAAUCUCCCCUGUCCUAAAAGUCCGUCAGCUGCUCCUAGAAAGAUGAGACCCUCAGGGAAAUCUGAGCCUGAACUGGGCUCAGAUCUUAUAUGAUAUUAAGAAAUUAUUAUUAACUUUAUCAACAAGUAUGACUCUGUGUUGUGGUUAUAUAAAACCAACAAACUCAAUCUAUUGGAGAGAAAAACUUAAGUAUUUAUGCGUAAAAGAUAUAUGACGUAUGACGUCUGUGAUUGUUUUAACGCACACACACACAGGGCCCUCCUGCCCCCUCAGUCCUUGCACUGCCUGCUCCGCCCCGGCCCAUCCCAGGCCUGCAUUUGGCAGGAAGGGACAAUUAGCCUAGUCAGGCCAAUAAGAGGACACUCGGCCUGCCUGUGGGCUUGGUGCUUUGGAGGCUGCUGAGGUGAGCGGCCAGGCCCCAGCCCCGGCGCCCACAGUGAAGCAGAGAGUGGCGUCCAGUGAUGGGGCCCCCGUGGUUGCCAUGCUCUCUGAGAGCAGAUCUUGAGCAGUGGUCCUGGCUGGAUACAGAGCCCUGGGUUGAUGGCUUCCAGAGCAGUCCACGGGCUGGUCACUGGUGCCGGCCAUCACUGUCUGGCUGUUGGGAGAGGCCUCAGGUUGUCUGAGGGCCUACUGAGGCACAUCUCUGCCCUCUGUGUCACCCGGGCUUGGCCUGUGAACUGGCCCAGAGUGCGCCUCACUUGGCCCAUUGUGGGGACGGCAGCGAUAACCUGCACACCUUGCUCCUCCCAGCUUUCAGAGCCAGGGGCUAUCGCUGGGCAGCCGGACAGCGUGGCAAUGUGGAGAAAUACUACCCACUGCCAACAGCAGCCCUGGUUAAUUACCAUGGCAGGAGGGAGAGCAAGGCGAGUCUCCAGGCCUGAGGGCGGCAGACCUACCCCGUGGGGCCCGGCAGCCAGCCCUGGCCGGGUAAUCGGGGCGGCAUUCCUGCUGAUUCCUGCUGAUCUCUCCCAUCUCCACCCAGAGGCUUAAUGAAGAAAACAGCUUUUCCGAGCCUCCUGAGCUGCCACACACAGCCUGGGCAGGCCCCCCAGGGCCACGAAGCCCCAGCGGCUUGACUUUCCCAGGCCCCUCCCACCGGAGCAGGGCCCAGGGGGCUGCUCCACAGUCACGCAGAGUCAGCCUGGGAGGCCGCCUGGAGCCGGGGCCUCCUGCCAGGAGGGUGAGCCAGGGGCAGCUGGGCUCGGAAGCCCUCCUCUGAGCCUGUGCUUGGGGCUCCCUGCCAUCGUCCCCACUUCCUAGUCACCCUCAGGCCUGGCAGUCCAGCUCAGGGUCCUGCCUGCCUCCACUCUGGGGCCCCAAAGAGCCAUUUAGCGGAGGCCCAACUCCUGACGAUGGAGUAGCAAAGGGCAGGCUGAUGAGAGAAGUGGGAGAGGCCAGGGGCAGAGAGGCACUGCCAGGGGCUCCGGCUGUGGAAUGAACUCCAGGAGUGCAGGGAAGCUCUCCCCACCCACGCCGGGAGUGCCAGGCCGAGUGGGCAGGCAGGCAGCUGUGACCCCCUAGGAGUGACUCGUGAUGACCAGCAUUGCCUUUGGGGAGAGUUUCCAGGGGGUCUGGAGGCUCUGCAGCUGGGCCAGCCUGCAGAAUAGUCACGCCUGCUCCAAAUGAGCUCCAGGAGCCCAGGUCAAGGGCAGAGCGGCCCUGCUGGUUCCCUCCCAGGCUCUGGGAGACCACCCACAUGGGCUCUAUCAGCGCAGAUUGUUCUCCGGCUCUCUGGCUGUGCACACAAAACCCAACAAUCUCCAAGUUGCUCUGGCCGUCUUUUCUGGAACUGCCUCGUCCCAACAGCUGGCCUGAGAAGACACUGGACCACAGGGAGGGACGCAGGAGGUUAAGUAGAGCAGAGUAAGGUGGCACAGGGCUGAGAGGCUCCUGCCGGGCUAGCCUUUGACCUUGAGGACACCACUUUCUGAGAGGAGCCCCAGCCUGAACUCGGGUGGGGGCUGCCACCUAGCACUUGCUCUGCCCUUGAUUUCUUUCCAAAACCGCCCCCUUCCCAGGUCCUGGGCUCGGUCCCAGGGGAACUGUCUGCUGCUGCUCACACAUGUUCCAUGAACCUUGGCUCAUGCUGGCCUCCACAUGGGAGUCCCUUCACGUGGCCCAGCCCCCCUGCAGCCGCUCCUCUGCACACUCAGCAGAUCUUUCUGGAAUGUGGGUCCUUCUCCCUCGGGGCUGCACUGUUGGCGUGGUCUGGUCAGGACACGGGCCUACAGUCUGACUGUUCCAGAUUCAAAUCCCAGCUCUGCCACUUCCCACCUGGGUGACCUUGGUCAAGAGACAGAAGCUUAGUUGCUUCAUCUAUAAAAUGGGAAUCAUGGCCACUUCACAGGUUGUUUUUUUAACAGGGAUUAAAUGAGACAUGUGUGACAUGUUUUGUGUGGGCCUUGGUUCACAGUAACGCUGGUAAAUACAGUGAUUGUGGCCACAUUGUGGUGGUGGUGGCCAUUGCUCCUGUCAUUAUCCCUGCAAAGAGUGCCGGUUCCCUGAGGACAGGAACCCUGGCUUUUUGUCUCUGUAUUCCCUCCCUGCCUGCCCAACCCUGCAGGGUGAGUGUGACUGGCGCAGAGUGGAGGCCUGUUCAAAUCUGGAUCAAGUGGAAGGCAGUGGGGUCCCCUGGGGAAGGCAGGAGGGCCAUGGCGUUUCCCGGCAGUGCGUGGAUAGAACCCAGUGGCUCUGUGUUGCUCUGAGCUGCAACCCCAGCUGCAGCCUGAUGGCCAAGCUCCCUCUGCAGAGCCUGGGCUCAGUCAGGGCCCCGCCUGCCAGGAGUGCUGCUGCCCUCAGGGUGGAAAUGGACAUGACCUGUGGGUCCUGGACACUUUGCUUCUCUGAGAGGUGGCACCCUGGCUCCUUCCUAUGCAACAAACAUUCCUCGACACUAACUGCAUGCCAAGCCUAUUGCUAACUGGGGCCUGAGGCAAGUCCCAUACCUUUCUGAGUCUUGGGUCUGUCAUCUGUCAACUAAGCACUCUAUAAAUUCCUGGCUUCAAAGAGUUUUUGGAACAUUAAAUGAGAUAAUAAAACACAGAGCCUGGGAUGGGGGGAAGGGUAGUUUCAGCAGACACGAGCUUCCCCAUCCCCACCCACCAGCCCUGGCAGCCCCUGUCCUCAACUGGUUGGUAGCAAAGGAUCCUGGGGAGAGCCAUGCCCUGGUCUGAGGAAGGGGAGGUCCUUCCAAGCUCAGGCUGCUGUCUUCCUGCCCUUGUGGACAGUGGCUCAGGUCACCUUGGUCCUGUGCUUUGUCACCUGGGGCCCAGGAGGUCCAUCCCUGGGGACGAGGGGGAGACCUGCCCUUCCCCCCUCACCUCAGAGGCCCAGCCCCUGACCAGUGUCUGAUUCCUACAUUUAGAAGGCCCUGUCCAAGCCUAUGCUGACCAAAGACUGGCUAGAGGUACUAGAAAAACCCCUUCAGCCCCCAGAUCACCUUGGCCCUGGGCCAGGCCUGGGGAUACCUUCCCUGGCCAGUCCACCACCCAGCUGCCCUCUGUGAACCUUCAAAUGAACAGUCGGUGCAGGCACCAUUUCCCCCAGGACCAGCUGCAUGUUUGAGCAGUAGUCUCUUCUGGUUUAUCUGGAGGAAGGAAGAUGACGUCACGAGGUAAACCACACAGCCUGAAACCACGAGGCCGGGUACCCCGGUGAUAUUCGCUUUUCAGCGAGUCACUCGUGCACAGAGGGACACAUUGCCUGGGCCUUUCUGGUCAGAGAGUGGCUGGGAAGACAGAGGGAGAUUUUCAAACACAGAACCACAAGAAAAGAGAGGGCCCCAGAAAAGAUGAACGUCAGAGGCCAGGCAGGGUGGCUUCCGGGUGCUGUGGGACAGUCAAGUGGACUUUGUGGCCACUCACGAGGUGCUUGGUACCUGAGGUUCUGAUGAUUGUAUUUACCAUGGUAGGCGUAAUGGGUGAUAAUAAUAUCGAUGAUAGGUACCACUUAUGUGGGCACAUUACCCAGUUAGCUCCUCAACAGCAACCCCCUGAGAUCAGAACCCAAGAGGUUGGCAUGAUCCUGUGGACACAGAGGGGAGAUGAGGCUGGUGGACCUCUGCUCUGUGCUCUCAACCUUGCAACUACAAAGCUGACUUGCCAGCAGGCUGGGUGUCUGCCUGCCCUGAGGCCUGGAGUUAAGCCCUAACCCCCAGCUGCUAACUGUGACCUGGAGGAAGCCCCUUACCCUCUGCAUGCCUCUGUUUUUUCCUCUGCCCAGUGUCCUGCCUUGCAGCUAAGAGAUUUCCUAAGAUGAACCCUAUCCUUCAGUCUCAUUUCAUUACUUUGUCUAUGCUCUGAGCAGGUUUUUCUGGGGAAAUUGGCUCUAAAGAGUAGGCUGGGGCACUGGUUCUGGUGGGCUAGUGGGAGGGGCUGGAGGGGGAUGCCCUUCGUGUGGACAGCUUGAAUGCGGAGAGCUGUGUGGGGAGAUCCAGAGAAGCCUCACUUUCUCAGGAAACCAGAGCUGCAUGAGUUGGGGGUGGCAGGCGCCUAAGGGAAGUUCCCUGUAUGUCUGGGUGUGUAUGAGUGAGAGUGUAAGGGUAGGCGUGAUGCCCACCAGGGUAGGUAGUGUCCCUGAUCCUGCAGCCAAGACGGUCCAUGCACACGUGCUGCCCAGACCCCAGGCCCUCCACCUCAGGGCGGGCCAUAGCUCUGGCUCUGACAUGCUCUGAGGGCCUAUAGGGACUGCUGUCUCAGACAGGGGACCGACAAGAGGACGCCACACAGGGAGUUGGCCCAGCUCCUCUUCAGGGGCCUCCUGAUGCCCAGCGUUCCUCCACUGGAGUCACAGCUGCCUGGGCUGAGGCCCAUCCUCAUCAGUUCUUUUCCUGAUAACGCAGGUACCCUGUGGGAGAGGCAGCACCUUGCGUCAGUGCAAGUGGAUAUAGACUUCCAGCACAAGCCUCUCAUUAUAAGAUGAGAAAACUGAGACCAUACUGGGGACAAGAUCUGCCCGCGGUCACAUAUUAGCUGACGGACAUGCAGGAGCAGGAACCCAGAAGGGAGGGCCACAGCGUGUCUAAGCUGGAAGGCCUCCCAAAUCCCCAGCCAAGCCCACUGAUGGGUCCCAAAUGAGCGGAGGGAGGCCACGAGAAGGGAGCUCCCACCUCAUCAGCAGGCCCGGAGGAGCCUGUUGGGAGGCCCCCAGGACCCGAGGAGGCCUGGGGACCGGGAACCAGAGCUGCUGCUCCAAAGCAAAGCCCUCAGUGGUCCCGCAGAGCUGGAGCUGGCGGCUCCUGGGGAAAAGCCAAGCUACUGAGACGUGAAGGGCCUUCCCUCUGAUGUGGAGUGAGCCCCCUCCCAGGGGUUCCUUCCCAGCAGCCCAAAGAGCAGGCAGAGGAGCCCACGGCGGAGUGCGCGGUCCCUCCUGGGGCCACCGUGCACUGGCGCCCGGGGCUGCAGCUGCCCCCGAGCACUCCGUCCCUGUUCAUCCGAGUCAGCAGGAGGAAGCAGAGAAGGUGGCCUGGCAGCCGGCCUGGCAGCCUUCCCUGCUGGCUGUGGACACGUCUUUGGUGGCGGGAGGUAACCAUCCAGGACGUGAUGAUUCGCCCACAUCGAGGUGUACCCGUACAUCGGUCACGAGAACAGUUUGCCCAGAGGGGUUUUUGAGGGCUGAUGGCAGACGUGAGUGUGAGGGAAGUCCCAGCCGGUCCUUGGACCCAUCAUAUAAAGCUGGCAUCAUGAGCGGUACAGGAGGGGAGUAAGGGGUUGGGUUGGGCCGGCUUUGGAUUUGGACUUGGGGCUAGUUAGGUGGGCGGUGGGUGGAGUUGCCAGGCCCUUUUCUCCAGCCCCACUCAGUGCUUAUCGCCUCAUACCCGGACCUUGCCAAUCCCUUCCUCAGGGGCCUCCCUGCCCAAGCCUCGCCCUCUAACUGAUCCCCCGACCUUUGCGGGACUGCUUCCUGAAGGACCCUUAGACUGUGCUCUUUGAGCUGAUCAAGGGUCACCUCUCCCUGGCUCUUAAAUCUUCAGCGGCUCCCUAUUACCUGUGGGAACUGAAGACUCCAGGCCUCGCAGUGGCCUCAGUCACCCUGCUCCCCAGUCCCUAAGAGAACCCCCUGUCUCAACCAAAGGCCCUGGGCUCCUCUGGCUCUGGGCCCCACCUUCCCCUGGAAUCCUCCUCCUUUCCCCCCCUCAAGGCACAGCCCAAGUCCCGCCUCUCCAGGAGGCUUGGCCUGACUACCCUAUCACAGUGGAGAAUGGUUGUGUCCGGAAGCGGGACCCUCUUCUUCCUGCUCAGCCUUCCUUGUGUGCAGUGCAAACCGCAGCCUAAGGCACCCUCCUCCUCCAGGCCCUCUGCACUCUUGGCAUUCAUUUAUUGGGGAAAGAGCCCAGUUUUGGAGCAAGACAGGCCUGGGUUAAAUUUCCGGCUCAGCUCCAGUCCCAUUAACUAGUUGCAAGUCACUUAACCUUUCUGAGCUUCCAUCUUCCACUCAAUAAAUGGGACAAGGCCUGCCCUGUGGGACCCUUGAGAGUACAGGAUGCUGAAUAGCAUCUGUUAUUUUGGCCUUCCCAGUGUCCAUUCCUCUUUCUUUUGAUGAUAUCAUCUGGGUUUGCUGGUGGGUAUGGGAGACCAGGUAGGGCUGACCUUACUUUCUGUUUCUAGUGUGAGUGUAUGACCCAGGCCUGGCCAUUGAGAACAUUCCCUUGCCCUGGCCACGGACAUAGGUGCCCAGAGAUGGAUAUGAGACUCAAAUCAGGCUAGUGGGAAUUACACUUGGGACUUGGGGUUACUAAGACUUUCUUUCCAUCAUAGUUAAUUGGCUGGGAGUACUGUGUUCCCCCAAAAGAUAUGUUCAAGCUCUAACUCCCGUUGAAUGUAAUCUCAUUUGGAAAUACCGUCUUUGGAGUUGUAGUCAAGUGAAGAGAAAGCCACACUGAAUUAGGGUGGACCCUGAUCCAGUGACUAGCAUCCUUGUACAAAGAGGAAAACAGGACAUGGAGACACACCGGGGCAAGGCCAUAUGGCAACAGAGGCAGAGACGGGAGUGAUGUGUCUGCAGGACAAGGAACCCAGGAUUGCCAGGAGCCGCCAGAAGCUAGGAGAGAGGCGUGGGACCCAGAGCCUCCGGAGGCGAGCAGCACUGUCGAGGCUGAGAUUUCAGACUGCUGGCCUCCGCAGCUAUAAGAGAAUAAAUAGCCUUCUGUGUGCAGCCACCCAAGUCUGUGGCGAUUUGUUAGGGCAGCUGCAGGAAACGUCUGUAGCCACCUGAUGGAGAGAGUGCCUGAGGCCAGCACUGUGGAAAUCAGGGCUGACUCCCCGGAUUCCUGGCACCAUGACAACGCCUGGAUCCAGCAGUGGCUGAACCAAGAGGUCUACCGGACUUCUCAGUCACAUCAGCCAAUAUACUCUGUAUUUUACUAA